CACAUUCUAUGUUUCUGGAUUGGGCCUAUCAGUAAAGUGGGAGAGGGCGUGUCAAACAGGCGGCCUGGCUUGCCCAACUCUGCGCAGACCAUAAACCGAGCUCUCCCAAAAUGCUUUAUCCAUGGUGUUAGUGCUGAGGGUAAUAAGCAUAUAAACCUGUUGCACUUGCCCUGCACUGAUGGAGAAAAUUUCCACAUGUGGGACACAAGAGAAGAGACCCAGGAAGGCCAUAGUAUCUGAGGUAUCUGAGCCUGUGGAUCUGAGGUACUACUUGCAGAUGUCACCAAGCAGGUCUACUAUGUAAAGGCUCUGGUUAAUAUAAAGUGAGUACAACAGUAGAAGAAGGACGUGCCCCCUUAAUCAUUCCUGGAGGAUUUUCUUAAUCCCUUCAAAGGAUGUGUUGCUAUGUUAAUUUAACAUUUACUCUAAUUAUAUCAGUGUUUUGAAGUGAUCGUAGUGCAAGG